rnacentral:lncRNA from 1 species
UGCCUCCUACUUUGCUAUCCAGACCACCUGCUCACACCCAAAGGAAACUGUACGAGCCACUUGUAGAUGCCCCCUCCAUGCCUACCGUGAAGUGACCUGUGCCCCUUCCUGAGCGUGAUAGUCACCAGCUAACGGAGAGGACGAGCUCAGCACCAGGCUGAUUUUCAUAUUCAGUUUUAUUUUCUCCUUAACAAUGUCGACAUUGUGGCCCAUAUGAGUGUUACAAGUUUCUGUACAUUAGUGGGAACAAAUAUAGUAAUAAAGUGAAUAAAUAAAUGAUGCAAUGCAAAGUAAAUAGAGUUGAUUGGCUUUAAUUGAACAUAUAUACAUUGAUCUUUUCAGGAACCCUCCCACCUUCUGAGAUCUCCUCUGCCCUUCGUACCCAUGAGCCAACCAACACACUGGUCCUUCUGUUGUUGUUCCCCCACUGACACGCAGACCAGACCCUCACACACCACACACUGGACCUUCUGCUGUUGUUCCUCCACCGACACGCAGACCAGCAGCAAAAGCAGCAGCAACAACAACCCAGACAGACAAAGAAAUGUUUCUCAUGUGGGCAGCCAAAAAUCCAGCUACCAAAGUGAGGUAUCAUCAGUUCAUCACUUUUAUCAACAAGGAGCCAUUGUUUACUACUAUUGCUCCACAAAGGUGUUUAAAGCCUAUUCUGCAGAGGGCCUGACAAAUCCUAGGAUGGCCCAAGAAGAGUUUGCACAGACUGAUUUCUUUCAGCGUGAACUUCAGCUAACAAAGCGCAGAGUGGAGGAAAAAGCUGAAAAGAAGAGGAAACUCCAAUUCUGUCGCACAGAGCUAAAGCAGGAUCCAAACAGCAAACAUGUACACACAGGGUUUCCAGGAGUUUCAGGAAAAUACAUUUACUGCCCACAUAAGUCCUCGCCUUAUAUAAAGACAGAGGCAUGACGAAGGAAAUGACAUGGAGGGAAUUUCAAGCCUCAUCAUUCUAUGGCAUGGAAAAGGAGAGGUGGGCAGCAGAAGGAAAGAUGUAGCAAUGCUGACAUUUUAUGUAUACUCUUAAUACAUUUCAUAUUUUAAUCAUCCACUGUUCUCAUAUUGCACCAUUCUGUUGCUCCAUCCAUUCUUUUCAAUUACAUACACAUUUCAAUCAGUUAUUGUUUUGCUUUGUUUGAGCUGGUCUUCAGAAUUUACCCCCAGACAUUGAAUGUUUUUUACCCAAGAUUCCGGAUCAUAUUCAAAACUCCAACUAUAGUACAAUUGGUGCUUGAUACUAAUGCAGGCAUAGUGUCAGGUGUGUAAAUUGUGUACUGAUUCAUUUAAUAGAUUUAGUCGUUU